CAUUAUGGCGGGCCGUGUGGCGCGGGCCUUUCGGCUUCCGUUUUGACUUGGAAGUGUCCCGACUUCGAACGCCACUCGGUCCGCCACCCAA
rnacentral:misc_RNA from 1 species